AGUGAACGCUGGCGGUAGGCCUAACACAUGCAAGUCGAACGGCAGCACAGUAAGAGCUUGCUCUUACGGGUGGCGAGUGGCGGACGGGUGAGGAAUACAUCGGAAUCUACUUUUUCGUGGGGGAUAACGUAGGGAAGCUUACGCAAAUACCGCAUACGACCUACGGGUGAAAGCAGGGGAUCUUCGGACCUUGCGCGAAUGAAUGAGCCGAUGUCGGAUUAGCUAGUUGGCGGGGUAAAGGCCCACCAAGGCGACGAUCCGUAGCUGGUCUGAGAGGAUGAUCAGCCACACUGGAACUGAGACACGGUCCAGACUCCUACGGGAGGCAGCAGUGGGGAAUAUUGGACAAUGGGCGCAAGCCUGAUCCAGCCAUACCGCGUGGGUGAAGAAGGCCUUCGGGUUGUAAAGCCCUUUUGUUGGGAAAGAAAAGCAGCAGGUUAAUACCCCGCUGUUCUGACGGUACCCAAAGAAUAAGCACCGGCUAACUUCGUG
rnacentral:rRNA from 1 species